CUGGCUGAGAAAGUGGCAACAGCACAGGAGACCGAGGAGGGAGUCACCGAGGACGGGAUCGAUGACUCCUUCGAGGUGCUGUGUGAGAUUCAGGAGGUGGUAAAGACUGGUCUGUGGGUGGGAGACUGUUUCAUCUACACCAGCUCUGUCAACAAACUCAACUACUACCUAGGAGGAGAGAUUGUCACCAUCGCCCACCUGGACAGGGUGACCGUCUGUAUCUGGGUGAUAAGGAGCUUAACAUCGUCACUUACUCUCUGCUGGUGUCGGAGUACUAGACAGCUGUAAUGAGGAGGGACUUUGGGAUGGCCGACAGGGUCCAACCCACCAUCCCUAAAGAGAUGAGGACCAGGGUCGCCCACUUCCUAGAGAAACAGGGUUUCAGGCGGCAGGCCCUGACUGUGUCAACAGACUCAGAACACAGGUUUGAGUUGGCUCUGCAUCUAGGAGAACUGAAGAUCGCCUACCAGCUGGCUGUGGAG